rnacentral:tRNA from 1 species
GUUUAAAUAGCUUAAAUAAAGUUUUUUAUUGAAGAUGAAAAUAUGAUAAUUUAUUAUCUUUAAACA